rnacentral:lncRNA from 13 species
AGGGCACCUAAGGGGAUUGGAGAUGGAAUAGGGUGGAAGGUGAGGCGCUGGCCUAGACCAACAUAGGGGCCGCAAAGCCUGGGGAAAUCCUAGGAGCUGACCCAAGCCAAUAGCCCGCGAGAGACCGCCCUGCUUUAGGCCGGGCGUCCCAGAGAGCAGAGGCGCGUGGGGGAGGGCGAGGGCGGGCUCCUCUGGAGGCGGCGGGCUCCAGGCCGGGCUCCGUAAUCUGGUCAGCAAUUGGAGCGGGAAGGCCGGGACAGAGCUGACAAUUUACUGGUUCAUCAAUGAAACAAUAUUAAAUUAUGAAGAUGUAAGGAAAAAAUCCUACGCUAACAUUGUCGCAGUUUGAAAGGUAAGCUGCUCCCUACAAGAUUAGGAGAUAUUAAUGUUCUUUUAAAAUCUACAUAACGUGAUGCCACGUGAUAUACAUUAGAGGGUUAAGUGGCCCCUUGACCUCUUUGACUACUAUUGUGGGGCUGGCAAGUAUUUCAUAGUAAGGAAAAAUGUUUUCCGCAUUCUGCCUUUUAAAAUGUAAAAACAGCGUUUUUAAUGCUUUUAAAGUGUUAUUUUGUGUGUGUGAGUAGGAUAUUCUGGGAGAUUGGACUUAACUGAGUGUGUUGCAGUGAUCAUGUGGGUGCUUUGGAAAGGUUUUGCCCUUGUUUCUAUUGAUUCACUAUAUUGACCAGUAAGCUGCGGUUGUCAAAGUCAGACUAUUUCUUAAUUCUUGUCUUUCACUGAUGCCUAGGAAGUAAAACGUUACUCUUCUUUAUGUCCUGCCCUGUGUUUAAGAUAGGAUCCUUCUCUUUCUGAUUCCACCUUCUGUGAGCUUACUGAAAGGUUUUGGUAUCCAUUAGAUUCCAAUUGAAUACCCAUUCAUUUUUCCAGGGGUAUCUGUCUACUUCACUCUGUUUUUGAAGGGCAGCUAUAUACUACUAACAUUCCCAGGUUACCAUCAGUUAGUCAAGUAAUCUCCGAGACCCAGGUGCUUCACUUGGAUCCA